rnacentral:rRNA from 1 species
AUUGAACGCUGGCGGCAGGCCUAACACAUGCAAGUCGAACGAGUGGCGGACGGGUGAGUAAUGUAUGGGACCGUGCCCUGUGGCGGGGGAUAACUACUCGAAAGUGUCGCUAAUACCGCAUACUAUGGGAUGUGCCGAUAUGGGAUUAGCUAGUUGGUGGGGUAAUGGCUCACCUAGGCGACGAUCCCUAGCUGGUCUGAGAGGAUGACCAGCCACACUGGAACUGAGACACGGUCCAGACUCCUACGGGAGGCAGCAGUGGGGAAUAUUGCACAAUGGGCGCAAGCCUGAUGCAGCCAUGCCGCGUGUAUGAAGAAGGCCUUCGGGUUGUAAAGUACUUUCAGCGGGGAGGCGGUACCCGCAGAAGAAGCACCGGCUAACUCCGUGCCAGCAGCCGCGGUAAUAC